UAUGCUAACUUGCGUACGCCUGUUUUUCAGUUGGUACAUUUUAGCAAUGUGUACCGGAUUUCAGUAGACAAAAAUACCCUUAUAUAUCAUGAAUUAAGUUUUAAGGUUAAGGAUAUUUUAAUAAUUUUCAUUUUCAAAAUUAAAAAAAUAAAAAAAGAAACCCUCUAAACCCUUACCCACCUCUCUCAUCCCUCGCAACCCUUUCUCUUUCAUCUCUCUCCGACCUUUUCUCUGUCAUCCCUACUCUAGCCCCAAUUGAAAAAAUCAAACACUUGCCUUAUUUUAAAAAUUUUCAUUCUCAAAACUGAAAAAAGAAACCCCAAACC
rnacentral:lncRNA from 1 species